GUUUGGUCGUCGGAUGAAUGCAGGCGCGCUCCGGAUGAGUGAAAAACUAGCUGCCACCCUUGGACAUAAGGAUUAUUCAGGGAUCAAUAUGGAGUGAUCAUUGCCUCCUAACUAUGGUCGUAGUGGACGUAGGAAUGUCCUGCUGGUAAACCCAUAACAACGGGAGCACUGCUCGGAAACGGAAGACCGGGAGCAGAUUUGCACAACUGUGCCAGCAUGCAUCAAAUGAUGAAAAUUGUACAUAUCAUGUAUGUUUUUAUUUAAAAUCAAAUAAAAUGUACUUAAUGUA